rnacentral:rRNA from 1 species
AGUACGUGAAACUGCUUAGAGGUUAAGCCCGAUGAACCUGAAUAUCCAUUAUGGAAAAUUCAACAUUAAUAUUAUAAUAUUUAUUUAUAAAUAUUAUAAAAAUAGUGUGCAAUUUUUCCAUAUAAGGACAUUGUAAUCUGUUAAUGUAAUAAAUAUUUAUCAUAAGAUUCAAUAAAUAAAAGUUUAUUCAAAUUAGUUAUUUUCCGAUUUCUAACAUAGAAUAAAUUUAAUUGAAUUUGAUAAAUCAUUGACAGAUUUAUUUAUAUAUAGUGCUUAAAUUCUUAAUUGAAUUUUACAAUAAUUUAUAAAUGUAUUUUCAUUUAUUUAUUUAUUGUAUGCACUUAUAUGAUUAACAAUGCUAUAGAUUCAGGAUACCUUCGGGACCCGUCUUGAAACACGGACCAAGGAGUCUAACAUAUGUGCAAGUCAUUGGGUAUUUUUAAUAAAACCCAAAGGCAUAAUUAACUUAACUGUUUUUAAUAUGGGAUUAAUUUAUAUUUUAUUAUGAAAUAUUAAUUCAAUCCCGGGGCGUUCUAUAUAGUUAUGUAUAAUAAUAUUUAUAUUAUUUAUGCCUCUAACUAGAGCGUACCUUGAGCAUAUAUGCUUU